rnacentral:rRNA from 1 species
UCUGUGAUGCCCUUAGAUGUUCUGGGCUGCACGCGCGCUACAAUGACUAUCUCAACGAGUUCUUUCACCUUGGCCGACAGGUCUGGGUAAUCUUCUCAAAGGUAGUCGUGCUGGGGAUAGACUAUUGUAAUUAUUAGUCUUCAACGAGGAAUUCCUAGUAAGCGCAGGUCAUCAACCUGCGCUGAUUACGUCCCUGCCCUUUGUACACACCGC